CUUUAUAGUACAAGUACUUCCUUAUUAAAAUAAGAUAACUUUCCUCCAAUAAUCAAUUUUUAAACCAUUUCUGCAUUGUCAUGGUUUCACAUGUCUUUAAGCUUAUUUUGUAUAGUUUGCAACCUAAAUCUAUGCAACAUUUUCUAGUACUGACAAACCUACGGUAUUUGAGUUAUGGGCUGACAUUCAUGGUCUUGCAGGCAAAACUCAAGUUCCUAGGUAGGACUGAGAAGUGGCAUGAGCCACUGUGCUCAGCCUCAGUUUAUUUUUUACUCAUAAAUAACUCAGAUUUGAUUUCUUCUUAUGGGUUUGCUGGAAGUAAAAAUCACAUUCACAACCACUGAAGCCAGACAUUUGAUUACUCUUAACAAUUAACAGUAUUAUUUAUUAGGAAAGUAAUGCUGUAAGAGUCAGCAAAAUGGGGCCUGGCUUCCCGGGGCUUUGUCCUAGUCAGCAACUUGCCUUGCACUGCCCUCUUCCUGCCACCUGUGUCCAGCCUGAGCAAGAAAAGAUCUGAUGCUCAGGGAAUCCCUCAUUGGGAAAAUUUAAAUAUGGACCGUAUAGUAGAUGAUAAUAUUGAAAUUAGGUUAUCUUUUUAUUAGAUGUGAUGAUGGUAAUGUGAUAAUGUAGGUGAAUGUUCUUAUUUUUAGGUGAGGCGUGGGGAAUGUUUCCGGAUGGAAUAUUCUAUGUCUUCAACUUACUUUCAAAAAAACAAUACAGCAAGUCCUCAAAUAAGUCUCUUUGUUCAACGUCGUUUUGUUCAGUGUGAGAAAAAUGAUGAGAAAAAAAAUCAUUCCUGGAAAUAUAUUCCUGGUCAGGGCCACUGUCUGUGUAGAGUUGCACGUUCUCCUCACGUCUGUGGGAUUUUUCUCCAGGUGAUCCAGUUUCCUCCCACGUUCCAAGGCUGUGCACAUUUAGUUCACUGGCGGGUCCACGUGGUGGCACUGUGAGUGAGUGGGUGCUUGUGGGGGUGUGAGAGUGCACCCUGCCACGGGACUGCGGACUGUCCGGGGCUGGUUGUCACCUUGUGCCCUGAGCUGCCAGGAUGGGCUCUGGCCACCUGUGACAUUAAACUGGAGUAAGGGGG
rnacentral:lncRNA from 1 species